GAUGAAGAACGCAGCGAAAUGCGAUAAGUAAUGUGAAUUGCAGAAUUCCGUGAAUCAUCGAAUCUUUGAACGCACAUUGCGCCCGCCAGUAUUCUGGCGGGCAUGCCUGUUCGAGCGUCAUUUCAACCAUCAAGCCCCCGGCUUGUGUUGGGGACCUGCGGCUGCCGCAGGCCCUGAAAACCAGUGGCGGGCUCGCUAGUCACUCCGAGCGUAGUAAUACAUCUCGCUCAGGGCGUGCUGCGGGUUCCGGCCGUUAAAAAGCCUUAUUUACCCAAGGUUGACCUCGGAUCAGGUAGGAAGACCCGCUGAACUUAAGCAUAUCAAUAAGCGGAGGA
rnacentral:misc_RNA from 1 species